UUUAGCAUUUAGGUAAUCACAAUGUGGGAUACCAGUUAGUUUCGAAUCUAAGACAAUUCCCAAAAACUUAACAUUAUCUUUAACUGGAAUCUGAUAACCCUCAUAAAAUAUAGAAAUAGGAGGAGGAGUUCUUGAUCUCGUGAAUAAAACUAUUGUACUUUUUUCAGGUGAUAGAUCAAGGCCAUUUAAGUCCAACCAAGUUUUUAAAUUUAUCAGCGGUUGUGUUAUAGAAGAACUAGCUUUUUCAAUAGAAAUAUCACGACAGUAAAUUAAUAGAUCAUCAGCAUACUGAAGAACAUUUACACAAUUAAGUGAUGAUUUUAAAUCGUGUGUAUAAAUAUUAUACAAUAUUGGGCUAAGUACUGAUCCCUGGGGGAGGCCCUUUGAAACAAGUCGAGUAAUUGACUUCCUAUCAUCUAGUUUCAGGAUUAUGUAUCUUUCGGAAAGCAUGUUUAUGAUAAAAUUUGUUAAUAGCAGAGGUAUAUUAAGUUGUAAAAGCUUACUCUUUAAAAUACUUACUACGACAUUAUCAUAGGCACAAUUUAUAUCUAAGAACGCAGCUAUUACUGAUUUGUUAUUUGAAAAUGAUAAUUGAAUAUCAGAAAUGAAUAUACUUAAGCUAUCAAUAGUACUUUUCCCACGUCUGAAACCGAAUUGGGAUUCACAUAAUAGACCGUUAUGCUCAACAAACCAUUCUAAACGAUUUUUUAUAAGAUGUUCUGUAAUUUUCAUCAAAACAGAAGAAAGUGCGAUUGGGCGAUAGGCAGAAUGGUCUGAAGAACACCUAUUAGGUUUCAGUACGGGAAUUAUUUCUUGACGUUUCCACGUGGAGGGGAUGUUACCAGAUGUCACUAUGGAAUUUAUAAGAGAUAAAUAAUAAAAUAAAGCAUCAUCAUCUAAAUGAGAGAUAAAGGAAUACGGAAUACCGUCCAGUCCUGGAGCAGAAUCCUUAACAUGAGACAAUACACCUUUUAGUUCAGUGAGAGAAAAUAUACUGUUUAAACCAAAACAGUUAUCAUUAUUUAUAUUUAUUACAGGGUAACCAAUUAUUAAGUCUUCAGGAACGAAAGGUGGAGCCAAUUUAUCUAAAAAGCUAUUAACUAAAUGAAAAGGGAUUGAUUUUGGAGAUGAAUCUUUGUAUGCAGAUCUAAAGCUUCUUAUAUUUUGCCAUACAAGAGAUGGUUUGACAUCAGCAUAUUUUCUUCUCUUUACUGCCUCAGUACAUUCGUUAUCCCACCAAGGAGGAGAAGGAAUAAAACCCAAAGAGCUAUUUUUACUUGGAAAUAUCUCAUUGGCAACCUCAAUAAAGAUUCUUGCUAAAGAAUCUGCACACUGCGAUUCUGUACCUGGAUUAAUUUUUGGAAGUGUUGGAAAUGAUAAUAAUAGUGGGAAGUGAUCACUACCAAAAGUAGAUCGUAAUGGAUCCCAGGACAAAGAAAGAAGCAAGAUUAGGUGUAGUGACUGUUAAAUCUGGAGCACUUGGGCCCUCAUCAGGAUGAGAACGUCGUGUAGGACGACCAUCAUUUAAUAUACACAAAUUCACUGAAUCAAAUAUAUCUAUUAAUGUGUUACCAUAACUAUUAGAAGAUAAGUAACCCCAGGAUUCAUGGCGACAGUUAAAAUCACCAAGGAUCAUAAAAGGCUUCGGAAGAAUGGAAAUAAUAUCUUUAAUUUCAUUUAAGAUUGCAGAAGAAGGAUGAGGUAUAUAAAUAGAUACAUAACAGAUAUUUUCAACUAAAGCAGCAAUAAUAGAAAAAUCAUUACUGUGAGAAGGAAUAGAGAAGAGAGAAAAGGAAAGAGGGUGUUUCACAAGCAUGGCUACUCCGCCAUGCCCAUCCACACGAUCUUCUCUGAGACAUGAAUAACCACGAAUCUUAAAUAAAGAUCCUGGUUUCAACCAUGUCUCUUGAAGAGCACAGAUAUAAGGUUUAUAUUUAUUUAAUAAAUAAAUAAGAUCACUUUUUUUAGGAGUGAUGCUUUGACAAUUCCAUUGAAGAA